GCGAACACACACGAACGAAUCCGGCCCAGUAAAUGGGGAAAAAGGCAAAUGAAAUCUAGAUACAGGCACACAUUGGGUGCCGAACAUCAAUGCGUAUGACCGCUGGCGAAGAUCAAGAACGGGCCGAACAACUGGCUGCUAGCACCCAACGCUGAUCAGCUCUAUCCCAACUGAUGCACUAAUGUGCGCCCCACACAUGAAUCGUAUAACAUGAAGCGUUUGGUACGUCCAUGUCGUGUCCGCUUCAACCUUCUGAUCACUGCACCAGUUGAACUGCGUAAACAGAUUGCUUGUGUUGACUCUAGUCCCCUUUGCUAUUGAGUGCGCUCUGGCAACAGCUUUUUUCUACAAACGACGCCCGAUGACGCCGAUCAAAUUAUAGUGUUGAUGCGUCAUCGGAUGUGCAUAUACACCUUGUGAUCUUGGGUCGCUGUACAUGAUCGAAGCAUACAUUUUUAAACCCAUCAAGUCAUUUACGCACAGGCUUGGCUCCUUGUCGAGGAUCGUCUAUUAACGAUCCGCGGUUCGCUCUAGAGGUGCACGAAUCGUCUGUCUUCAAGCGCCUAAAGGAGAAAUGAAGUGGCGGCGAUGACAACCGCUAGAUAUCAGAGCUACAAACACAACCUGGGGGGUCCCAGAACCCACAGCCUUUGCCAGUACUACAAAAUCAUUUGACCGACGACAACAGACGGACAGGUCCCCAUGAAGCGGCGAUUGCAUAAUGAACCGAUCUGAAAAAGUACCUUUCGAUCCUUCAAGAAAAAUUAGACUUCAGAUAUCAACGAUUGAAUAGUUCAGAGUUUAGUGACGAAGCAAAAUGCGAUUUUCAUACACCACUGACAAACAGUGUGCUCCCAUCGAAUGCUGGCUGCGUUCCGAAAAUUAAGUAAUAGCGACAAAUAAUAAACUGUGGGGUAUGGCGUUGCGCCGAUUUGGAUAAUUCUUGUAGUGAAUAAACAUAUAUGUUAUACACCCAGACGAGUACUUAUAAAUGGGUGAACACUCGUAAGGUUCUCCUGUAACUGUGACGUUGACGAAAAUGUCUACACGUAAUCUAUCGAUUGAUUCGGCCUGCUAUACGAUUUUAACCCACAAGGCCCUCGUGAUGGUACAGUGACAGCCUGUGAACUUAAAAAUGCUAGAAGAUCGCUUUGGCUUGAAUCCUGGCGAAGAAAGCGUCUUGCAUGGCGUACGAUAGUACCAAACAAAACAGAAAAACCAGAAACGCCUACGGAGCUAUCCUUGUCGACAGAAUGUUGUGCUUCACCUUCAUUUCGUGUUCUGGGUAAAAUUCUUACGUAUUUGGCCUAUACAUAGCCUAUACAGAUGCCUACUAUUGUCUGUGCCAACAAAACUACCCACACACUCGCCCCAUAUAUACAUCCGUACAGCCUUCGGCAGCGGUGUAAAUCGAAGUCGAUUUUCUGAGAGGACGCGUUUUGAGGUAGCGUCAAGAUGGCCUUGAAGUACGCUGUCUGCACGCUCCUCAAACGCCGUGUUUGCCGUCGCAACUGUAGAGAAGAAUCGACUCGGCGCGUCCACGACAUUUUAAAGAAGGCCAACAAAACGCGAGACAAUGAAUCUCUGAAGUAACUGUACGAACUGGUUUUCUCCAGUAAUUAUUAAUAGUUUCAAUGGAACA
rnacentral:lncRNA from 1 species